GCUCUUGUAGCUCAGUUGGUUAGAGCGUCGUACUAAUACUAGCUCCUAGGAGCAAGUCUCGGUGAUGCGAAGGUCGUAGGUUCAAUCCCUGCCAGGAGCA
rnacentral:tRNA from 1 species